rnacentral:lncRNA from 1 species
GCGUUUUCUUUGUGGCCUGAGCCCGAUGCCCUUAUCGGAAGGGUCAGAUGUCACACAACAAGCCCGUCUUCGCUCAAAAGAGAAAAGAGAAAAGAGAAAAGAGAAAAGAGAAAAAGAAAAAAAAGAGAGGUAGUCUCGACUUUAGGAUAGGUUACUGUACCACCGAUUUCGUCACGGUCGUCCAUGCGCACUCGCUGGAAAGUGGAGAGGCGAGUAGCAUAACAUGCGUCCUUACAUCGCUCGCUCGCAAGAGAGGUGACUUCAUGUGGAGUGCUUGGACGCUGAGG